GGAAAGGGUUGAUGUCAAAGGAGUAGUCUUGACUGGCAUUGGUGGCAAAUUUUGUGGUGGUCUUGACAUUGAUAUUAUGCGAAAAAUUCACAAGACAGGGGAUAUCUCAUAUCUGCCAGAUUCUUCAGUUGACCUAAUAAUGAACACAAUCGAAAGUAAUAUGUUUGGUGCAAUUAAAUAUUUUUUUAU